rnacentral:rRNA from 1 species
UACGUAGGGUGCGAGCGUUGUCCGGAAUUACUGGGCGUAAAGAGCUCGUAGGUGGUUUGUCGCGUUGUCCGUGAAAACUCACAACUCAAUUGUGGGCGUGCGGGCGAUACGGGCAGACUGGAGUACUGCAGGGGAGACUGGAAUUCCUGGUGUAGCGGUGGAAUGCGCAGAUAUCAGGAGGAACACCGGUGGCGAAGGCGGGUCUCUGGGCAGUAACUGACGUGGAGGAGCGAAAAGCGUGGGGAGCAACAGG